GUUCAAUGAUUUUGGCACACAUGACACUGAAUUAGAUCACACUUGACUUAAAAUGAUUUUGAUCUUUGCAGGCGGAAGACAAUCUUGCACAGGCGUUUUGUUUCGUUGGAGAGUUGCAACCUGCAAUGGAACACUGUAAAGCCUCAAUCGAGAUCCUGGAGAAGCUCUAUAAUCCUAAUCACAUUGUCAUUGGAUAUGAA